rnacentral:rRNA from 1 species
UAAGCGGAGGAAAAGAAACUAACUAGGAUUCCCUUAGUAACGGCGAGUGAACCGGGAUGAGCUCAAAUUUAAAAUCUGGCGUCUUUCAGGCGUCCGAGUUGUAAUCUAUAGAGGCGUUUUCCGCGCCGGACCGCGUCCAAGUCUCUUGGAAUAGAGUAUCAAAGAGGGUGACAAUCCCGUACUUGACGCGACAACCGGUGCUCUGUGAUACGUUCUCAAUGAGUCGAGUUGUUUGGGAAUGCAGCUCUAAAUGGGUGGUAAAUUCCAUCUAAGGCUAAAUAUUGGCGAGAGACCGAUAGCGAACAAGUACCGUGAGGGAAAGAUGAAAAGCACUUUGGAAAGAGAGUUAAACAGCACGUGAAAUUGUUAAAAGGGAAACGAUUGAAGUCAGUCGUGUGAAAGGUAUUCAGCCGUCUCUGGCGGUGUAUUUGCCUUUCACGGGUCAACAUCAGUUUGAUCCGGUAGAAAAAGGCGGGAGGAAGGUGGCACCCUCGGGUGUGUUAUAGCCUCCUGUCAUAUGUGCCGGACCAGACUGAGGAACGCAGCUUGCCGCAAGGCCGGGGUUCGCCCACGUACAAGCUUAGGAUGUUGACAUAAUGGCUUUAA